AGAGAGUGCGGGAGUGGCCGAAAGGGAAGUCGGAACACAGGUGCUGCAUGGCUGUCGUCAGCUCGUGUCGUGAGAUGUUGGGUUAAGUCCCGCAACGAGCGCAACCCUUAUCAUUAGUUGCUACGCAAGGGCACUCUAAUGAGACUGCCGGUAAUAAACCGGAGGAAGGUGGGGAUGACGUCAAAUCAUCAUGCCCCUUAUGACCUGGGCUACACACGUGCUACAAUGGUUGGUACAACGAGUUGCGAGUCGGUGACGGCGAGCUAAUCUCUUAAAGCCAAUCUCAGUUCGGAUUGUAGGCUGCAACUCGCCUACAUGAAGUCGGAAUCGCUAGUAAUCGCGGAUCAGCACGCCGCGGUGAAUACGUUCCCGGGCCUU
rnacentral:rRNA from 1 species